rnacentral:rRNA from 1 species
CUGCGUGAAGUCGGAAUCGCUAGUAAUCGCAGAUCAGCAUGCUGCGGUGAAUACGUUCCCGGGCCUUGCACACACCGCCCGUCACACCAUGAGAGUCGGGAACACCCGAAGUCCGUAGCCUAACAGCAAUGAGGGCGCGGCCGAAGGUGGGUUCGAUAAUUGGGGUGAAGUCGUAACAAGGUACC